rnacentral:rRNA from 1 species
UACGUAGGGUGCAAGCGUUGUCCGGAAUUACUGGGCGUAAAGCGUGCGUAGGUGGUUCGUUAAGUCUGAUGUGAAAGCCCUGGGCUCAACCUGGGAAUGGCAUUGGAAACUGGCGACCUAGAGUGCGGUAGAGGGUAGUGGAAUUCCCGGUGUAGCAGUGAAAUGCGUAGAGAUCGGGAGGAACAUCUGUGGCGAAGGCGACUGCCUGGACCAGCACUGACACUGAGGCACGAAAGCGUGGGGAGCAAACAGG